UUUUGUUUUUUUUAUUUAUUUUCUUUAUAUUUGUUCUUGUUCGCACUUUGAGGUCUGUUUUUGCAGAUGUAAAGAGCAGUAUUAAGACGGCGUAUUAGCGCCACAUUAGGGAAAAACAUUUAAGACUUUGAGAUUAAAGUCAUUACUAACGAGAAUAAAGUCAUAGCUAAUAGCUUUUCUAACCUACGAUGGAGUGUUAGGGCCACUUUAAGAAAAAAAUUAGGACUUCGUAAUUAAUUACGAGAAUAAAGUCGUAAUAAAGUCAUUUUUGGACGCCUUUCUCAUGGUCAAACUUUGGUAAACUUUGAGUUUGUUAUUGAGGACGUCUGAGAAACAUUUGUUAGAAUUUUUUAGGUUAGGUGUUUUUUUUCUUAAAUGCUCCCGUCUCUCCUGGUAGUCGAGCGUUUAGCAUGAUGGGGACUCUCAGAUACUCCAGAUGACCCACAUUAGAGACCAACAAUCAUUAGAUUAGAUCAGUUCUGGUUCUGAUCGGCCCGGCUGUCCCUCAUCUCAACACUCAAACAACAAAACCUCAGCUUCCCGACCCCGUUCAAACUUUGAAUCGUUUCGUUUUUUCACAUUUACGUUUCCUCUGUUGGAUCUUCACCGUCGUUGACCUCCUGAAGAUCGACUCUGUUCCUUUAGUUUCUACAUGUCACUUCAUUUAGUAAUAAUAGAAACGUGGUCAUCGUAGUUCGGACUUCCUCUACAUUUAAAAAGCCAUAAUGUUUAAACUGCACACAGUAGAAAACCCGGACUGGACUGGACCGGGACUUUAGCUUUACCCUGAGAACAAGCACAAGCACGAGUAUGCACUAACGAAAAAACACGAGAUGGACCGACUCAUGCACCAAAGACACCAAUCAAUCAAUCGAUCAAUCUAUCAACCAAUAAAACAAUCCCUCAGAUGAGUUGGAGUUGUCAGUGAAAGUGGAUCUAUCGUGUUUUUCCGACAUGUUUACAGAAGAUGUUUCACGUCUCAUUUUAACACCAAUAAAAUCUUUUUUUUUAGUCUUUGGAGACUGUGUGUGUUUCUUCAAACUAAAAACACUCGAGGAAACAGAAAACACCAUGGAUGAGGAGAUGCUGAUUCUAGAAGUCUAGAAGUAGAUUUCCUCCUCUGGAAGGACACAAUCUACUGCUUAUAUGUCUAUGUGUCUGUCUUUAUAGAGACAACUCGUUAUUGCACGAUUGACGAAUGAGAAUCUGUAGGUUCUUGUGAGUUCUGGCGAUUCCUGCUGUCCAUAAUCCGCCACGAAAUUCGCCUCGCAAACGGAUCCAAUUGGCGGAUGGCAAAAAUUGCUGCCAUUCCAGAUUGGAUUAAUCUCAACACAGACACUCAUUUGUCCCACGUUCAUCACAGACCCUGAACUCAUCAUCGUCUGUUUUUCUCAGUCAUUACAAAAUUUCGCUCGACACAGACUCUGUUUUCUAACUCCUAAGAAAACAAACUUAAGCGGGGGCGUUUCUCCACCUCUGUAGUCUAUAAGCUGGGCCAAAAAUCUUCCACUGUAGUAAAAUGAAAAGGUAAAGGUGUUUUUAUUGAGCCGAAUUAUCAAUGAAAUCAUGAUUUUGUUAA
rnacentral:lncRNA from 1 species